rnacentral:rRNA from 1 species
GAUGAACGCUGGCGGCGUGCCUAAUACAUGCAAGUCGAGCGAACAGACGAGGAGCUUGCUCCUCUGACGUUAGCGGCGGACGGGUGAGUAACACGUGGAUAACCUACCUAUAAGACUGGGAUAACUUCGGGAAGCCGGAGCUAAUACCGGAUAAUAUAUUUAACCGCAUGGUUCAAUAGUGAAAGACGGUUUUGCUGUCACUUAUAGAUGGAUCCGCGCCGCAUUAGCUAGUUGGUAAGGUAACGGCCUACCAAGGCAACGAUGCGUAGCCGACCUGAGAGGGUGAUCGGCCACACUGGAACUGAGACACGGUCCAGACUCCUACGGGAGGCAGCAGUAGGGAAUCUUCCGCAAUGGGCGAAAGCCUGACGGAGCAACGCCGCGUGAGUGAUGAAGGUCUUCGGAUCGUAAAACUCUGUUAUUAGGGAAGAACAAAUGUGUAAGUAACUAUGCACGUCUUGACGGUACCUAAUCAGAAAGCCACGGCUAACCACGU